rnacentral:lncRNA from 1 species
AGUAAAGCAACUACGAAAGAGAACUAUUUGUGCAUUUUAAAGCAUCGAUGCUUCACAAAAGGAUGGAUAACUGGGAUGCCGUAAUGAUGAUCACAGAAAUCCGAAAUGAAGGCAGUAGUUCUGUUUCUGUUUACUACAAGGAAUAUCUUUCCAGAUGAGGAAAUUACCCACAACUAUGGUGAUUCUUCUUGGCCAUGGCAUUCAAGGGAAUUGCAUGAAGCGUCAUUGGUGACUGAGAUUGAAUGCAGUGCGAAAACUUCCAUGUCAGGGAAAGAGAAACAAUUAUGUGAAAAGUCAUCAAUGGCAAUGAUUGAAUGUGGUUCGAAAAAUUUCUACGUCAGGGAAGGAGAAAGAAUUGCAUGAAGAGUCAUUGGUGACUGGGAUCAAAUGCUGUUCGAAAACUUCUAAAUCAGGGAAAGAGACAGAGUUGAAUGAAGAGUCAUUGGUGACUGGGAUCAAAUGCAGAGCGAAAACUUCCAAGUCAGGGAAAGAGACAGAAUUAUGUGAAGUCAUCAAUGGCAAGGAUCAAAUGCAGUGCAGAAACUUCCACAUCAGGGAAAGAGACAGUAAUGUCGCCAUGAAGUACACAGUGCUGUUAUUUCCAGUUUGGAUUCUAGCGAUGAUUGUAGUGGUCCUAUGUCAAGUAGAACAUGAAAACUUCAACUUGCAAAUACACCAAAUCAAGGAAAGUUAUGAUAAAAUUAUGGAGCACACUGAAGUGGAUGCAGUCAUGGAACAUUUUAAAGGGACACCUCACUACAAAAGCAGAGCGUGAUCAAUGCAAGAUAGCAGAAGACCAUGUUCUUAAAGAAAGAAGAACAAUUGAAGUGACAUUAUGAGGAACAAAGGGGAAAUGCUGAUGUAAAAGAAAUGUUGGAGUGCAUUUCAACAAAGAAAAGCAAAACCUGUUCUUUGAAAGGGUUGGUUCAUCCAAAUAUGAAAAUUAGCUCAUGAUAUAUUCACCCUGAUGUAUAUGACAUUCUUUGUUCAGACGAACACAUUAAGAGUUAUUUUGAGUUUUCUCUGGGCACUUAAAUACUAUAAUGGAUGUGAAGUGUGGGCCUUUUUAGAACACUGAAAAAAGUACAACUGUCCAUCUUCAAACCGUUCCAAUACAUGUCAUGUCUUUUGAAGCAAAUCAAUAUGUUUGUAACAAAAAUGUUUCUUUUUUUAUGAAUUAUAAACUACAGUUGCUACUUAUGCGUUGGUGACAAGUACCUAACCGAAUCAAAGAACAAAUCAAAGAUGUCCCAAACUUAGCCUACUGGACUUUUUGUGAACGAGAAUACAG